rnacentral:misc_RNA from 1 species
AGUGCAUCUACACACACUUGAACCGAUCCAGGUGGGCUGACUCACCUCAAGACUAACGCCAUCUUACAGACUUUGACUUGCUGAGGAAGACCGGCAAAGCAGCUGAAACAGAUCCGCAAAGCAACUCGCCCCCAUGCGUCGGAGUAAUUCACUGCCCCACGUCGCCAUGCCUGCCACUGCGAAGCUGAACCUGCCGGUGGCCGCAGUUCCGCCCAGAGCAAGGGUGUAUACAAAAAACAGAUCAUAGGUGAAACCACGGCAAAAACCCUUCUGAGAAAUUUAGGAGGUGAACAUGUGAUGCACCCAGUUAGGCCUUCCCUUCCCUGCUACAAUGACAAAGCAAAAACCAUGGAGUCGACAACGUGCUGACUCAGAGACUCAGCUCCGCCGCUCCAAGCAAAACGGUCCUGCUACCGCGAGCCCUGCUGUCACGGCAUCACUGACGCCCUAACAGAUGCCAAGGCGCUGCACUUCGACGCAGGCAUCACUACGCAUGUACGCGCUGAUCCGCGUGUGCUCAUGCAGCUGGAGGAACCGACUAACUGCAAGGCACACGGUGCUUGUCGCUACGAAACGCUAACUCACAUGCCGACGAUAAGCACCUAUUCACACCGAUCGCUCCAGAAAGGCCACACACCAGCUCCUCUGUCAGCCUACAGGAUUGAACAAGCUGAUAAUAUGAGACUUGCAAAGGGGGUCCAUUAACAUGGAAGAGCUCGCGAGAGUCGAUCACAUCCUAGGCCACUCUCUUUUGGCACAUCUGCAACAGAGGCGCUCUCUCGAUUCAAUCUCCGCAAGCACCUCACUCACCUAGCGUGAUGUGCGUGCUCGCAGCUUCGGGGUCUUUCCCCACUCUCGGGAGACGCCUAUACUGCAAGAGAUCGAAUCGCGACAGAGUGAUGCUCACAACAUGGAUGGCCUCAAGAAGCGUCGUGCACUCGACUCCCUCGCGUCGACAAACUGCUGACAGCUGAAGGGCAUUUGCACCGCGUUUAGACGCGCCACAACGCUCAGAGAUCUGCGCUGCAUCUACUGCAGUCUCGUCCUGCGACGCCGCUUCGAAGGACGUGACGUCGGUGCGUGUGUAGUGCCGGCAAGAAGUAGCAGAGAGGUCCGUUAACAUGGCGCUCUCAACGGGACCCUUCGCUACUUUCCUCCGCGCCUCCACUCACGUGGCCACUUAAUCGGGGAAAGCUGUUCCGCCUGCUCACACACCGAACGUCUCACCCAAGCUAUCCGAAUGUGGUAUGACUGGAAAGAUCCAUUGUCCACAAGGAACAGAGGAGCCGGCCACUUAUAUCCUUGCUCGUCUUUCGAAAGCUUGACGGCGCUCUUCUCUCCCACGAUCUGCGCUCCACCUGCUCUGUGUCCCGCGCUACAAUCCCGUGAAGGAUUUGGGCUUGAGUCUCAUCUGCCCCACUCCUGCGAGCUGGGCUGCCCGCUUGUGCUUACCAUAAAGCCGCCGAGAAGAUGUGCAUCCUCACUUCUUUUCCUCUUUUUGCUGCAGACGUAUCGUUUUCACUGUUUGCCUUCCGCUUUGCCUAG